UACAGAGGUCUCAAGCGUUGUUCGGAUUCAUUGGGCGUAAAGGGUGCGUAGGUGGCGCUGUAAGUCGGGUGUGAAAUUUCGGAGCUUAACUCCGAAACUGCAUUCGAUACUGCGGUGCUUGAGGACUGGAGAGGAGACUGGAAUUCAUGGUGUAGCAGUGAAAUGCGUAGAGAUCAUGGGGAAGACCAGUGGCGAAGGCGGGUCUCUGGACAGUUCCCGACACUGAGGCACGAAGGCCAGGGGAGCAAACGGG
rnacentral:rRNA from 1 species